UAGGCAUAUACACUUCUAACAUAUCUAUGAGAGCGAGACUAAGUGGGAGAAAAAUCAAUCAUGGGAAACACACCCAUAAAAUUGGAUCAGUCAUUGGCCAAACCAAAUGAAAACAAUAGCGGUCAUCAACAGAGCGGAUUUCCAUCAAAGUACUCAGCCAUGAUGAGAAAUGAGACUGUUGUUCUACAGAGAAAAAUCUGGAAAGAUUCUGAUGUAGCCUAUGCUAUACCUAAACGAUACAUCAAAUGGGAUAUAAGGAAUAUGGCCUUAUAAAAUUCACAAAUAGCCCUCUAAUCAAAUCCCUCUGAGAUGGUACCACACAAAUCAAAACAAUAAAUGCAUCAUUUAAUUAGC
rnacentral:lncRNA from 1 species